rnacentral:lncRNA from 10 species
UAGAACACAAAGUAGCAGUUUUAAAUAAUGAGAGAAGAUUCCACAUGGAACGCUCAUCUGGCUGUGGCAGCCUGUGACUGAAUGAGAGAAAAGUGCCCUAGAAGCUAUUCAUUACGAAUUCACUGGAAGCUCUCAAACGAGGCUGGCAGAAGCUGAAAUUGAAGUGGUCUCUGACCUAAUUUUCUUCUGCAUGAAACAUCUGCAUCAAGGCUCUCUUUGAUGUAUUCCACUUGGCUCUGUCUACGGGAUUGUAUCACAUGGACUCGGUGUUGCCUCCUUAUUGAAAGACAUUUCCAGCCUUUGCAAGGAUGGCCGGUUUGACACAAAUUAGAACAACCUUGAUAGCUGUCAACUGGAGACUAUCUGAGAACAAAAGGACAUUAUUGCAAACCAGCACUGGAGGCAACUCUGAAAGAAGAUAAAAGUACAUGAAGAAAUCAUUUGCAGGCACUGGACAAAAAAGAGUGCAAAACUAUAAUCUUGAGAGCAGGACACACACAGGUUUGCAGCAUCACAGAAAAUGAUGCUCUCUCCUGCCAAGUCCCAUUUUUUGGGAGGAGGAAAUGGAUUAGGUCCUGGAGGUUGUCAUAAAUGCAUCAAGUGACUUUCUCAGCAUCAUCUGAAACAGUGCAGCCAUCCAGCCCAGAACACAACAAGAAUAGAGUUGAUGAGCCCUCUUCUCCUCAACAAACACCUGUGGAUGAGAACAUUGAGGCAAGGGAACAGGUGGCCAAAAAUACCCUCAUAGCCUUGAGAAAGUCCAUCUUGAUGUUAUCCAGUGAAACUUAAUGGCAACGCAGGAGCCAGGGAGCCUGCUUUAUUUUGGAAAUGAAAAAGUCAGUACAGUUGAUGAGAAUUUGAAGAGAAAAGACACAACAAAG